GAUGAACGUUGGCGGCGUGCCUAAUACAUGCAAGUCGAACGAAGACUGUAGUAAUACUGUCUUAGUGGCGAACGGGUGAGUAACGCGUGAGCAACCUGUCCCUCACAGGGGAAUAACGCAUCGAAAGGUGUGCUAAUACCGCAUGAGACCACGGUACCGACAUGGUACAGGGGUUAAAGGAGCAAUCCGGUGAGGGGUGGGCUCGCGUCUGAUUAGCUGGUUGGUGAGGUAACGGCUCACCAAGGCGACGAUCAGUAGCCGACCUGAGAGGGUGAUCGGCCACAUUGGAACUGAGACACGGCCCAGACUCCUACGGGAGGCAGCAGUAGGGAAUCUUGCGCAAUGGGCGAAAGCCUGACGCAGCCAUGCCGCGUGAAUGAUGAAGGUCUUAGGAUUGUAAAAUUCUUUCACCGGGGAAGAUAAUGACGGUACCCGGAGAAGAAGCCCCGGCUAACUUCGUGCCAGCAGCCGCGGUAAAACGUCUACUGCGAGCGGGCG
rnacentral:rRNA from 1 species